rnacentral:rRNA from 1 species
ACUCCUACGGGAGGCAGCAGUGAGGAAUAUUGGUCAAUGGACGCAAGUCUGAACCAGCCAUGCCGCGUGCAGGAAGACGGCUCUAUGAGUUGUAAACUGCUUUUGUACGAGGGUAAACGCAGAUACGUGUAUCUGUCUGAAAGUAUCGUACGAAUAAGGAUCGGCUAACUCCGUGCCAGCAGCCGCGGUAAUACGGAGGAUCCAAGCGUUAUCCGGAUUUAUUGGGUUUAAAGGGUGCGUAGGCGGUUUGAUAAGUUAGAGGUGAAAUUUCGGGGCUCAACCCUGAACGUGCCUCUAAUACUGUUGAGCUAGAGAGUAGUUGCGGUAGGCGGAAUGUAUGGUGUAGCGGUGAAAUGCUUAGAGAUCAUACAGAACACCGAUUGCGAAGGCAGCUUACCAAACUAUAUCUGACGUUGAGGCACGAAAGCGUGGGGAGCAAACAGGAUUAGAUACCCUGGUAGUCCACGCAGUAAACGAUGAUAACUCGUUGUCGGCGAUACACAGUCGGUGACUAAGCGAAAGCGAUAAGUUAUCCACCUGGGGAGUACGUUCGCAAGAAUGAAACUCAAAGGAAUUGACGGGGGCCCGCACAAGCGGAGGAACAUGUGGUUUAAUUCGAUGAUACGCGAGGAACCUUACCCGGGCUUGAAAGUUACUGACGAUUCUGGAAACAGGAUUUCCCUUCGGGGCAGGAAACUAGGUGCUGCAUGGUUGUCGUCAGCUCGUGCCGUGAGGUGUCGGGUUAAGUCCCAUAACGAGCGCAACCCCUACCGUUAGUUGCCAUCAGGUGAAGCUGGGCACUCUGGCGGGACUGCCGGUGUAAGCCGAGAGGAAGGUGGGGAUGACGUCAAAUCAGCACGGCCCUUACGUCCGGGGCUACACACGUGUUACAAUGGGGGGUACAGAAGGCCGCUACCUGGUGACAGGAUGCCAAUCCCAAAAACCUCUCUCAGUUCGGAUCGAAGUCUGCAACCCGACUUCGUGAAG